UCCCAAACUAGAACCCUGCUUCCUGUGGUU
rnacentral:piRNA from 1 species